UGGAGCGGCCGGAGGCCUGGCCUGCGCCGUCCUGUGCUCCAGCAGAGCCCCGCCAACCCGGGGGAGGGAGCAGGGGGUCGGGUCCCCGGAGGGGACCCCGAGGCCCCGUGUGACAGGCGCGCGCCCCGCGUGCCCCGCUGCCCGGCUGCAGGUCCGGUCACGGCCCUGAUCCCACGACGUCCGUGGAGGUGCCGGCGCAGGGGGCAGGUGGUUUUUAACUUUUGGUUUAAGUGUAGCAUAUGCCUGGGUGGUGUAGACAUCCUAAGUCCACCUAAGCUGGUGUUAGCCAACUCUCCAGGUCAAGAAUCACCCCCAGCCUCCAGGGGAGCCCACCCACCGGGGCCACCAUGUCCUCGGUUUUAACACAAUCGUUUGUUUUGCUGUGUUUCCACUUGGUGUAAAUGGAAUGAGCGCCUCCGAGCGCCCGCCGGCUUCUUUCAUGCAACGCGAGGUUCGAGGUGCCAGUAGCACCCCCCUGACCCCCCAUGCAGUGUGACAACCAAAAAGAUCUCUAGAUACUGCCCACUGUCUGCACGAAUUGGGGGGAGGGGUCGUCAUCCUCAGUGGAGAACCAGUAGCUUUAGAAGAAUCUACAGACGCUGCAUAGAAUUCUGUUGACUCAGUCUUCAGGGACGGUAGAGACUAGUAUCACCUAUGUCCUGCCCUCCAUGUCUCCAUAAGUAUCUGCACCUGCAUGUCUCUGGUCCUUUCUGCCUGGAGAUGGGCAGAGUGUCCUGCCUCCUGGAUGAGGCUGGACCCUGGACCCAUCAACCCAUGCCAGGAAUGUGCCUCCUCCACGUACCUGCCCCUUCCAUGGACUCCUUCCUCCAGAUUUUAUUUAUUUGUUAGAGACACAGAGAGACAAGCAGAGACACAGGCAGAGGGAGAAGUCCCGAUGCGGGACUGGAUCCCAGGACCUGGGGAUCACGACCUGAGCCAAAGGCAGACACUCAACCAGUGAGCCACUCAGGUGCCCUGGCUUGUUUUGUUUCUCUCCAAAGGUAUUGAAGUCAUUCUGGAUGGUCUGAGGAUGUGGUGUCACAAGACUCACAUAGCAGGGCAGCCUCUUGCCCAGAUCUUAGGUGGACAUAUUGUCCAGCUAAAAGCAUAAAGCCCUCCACGGUUCCUGUUGUCACACAUGGCAGGAUUUCUUUCUUCUAAAAGGCUGAAUCAUAGUCCCUUGUACUUAUCUUCUCAUCCUCAAUGGACAUUUCAGUUGUUUCCACCCCGAGGCUGUUUGUGAAGAGUGUUGCCAUGAACACGGGAGUGCAAUGAUCUCUCCAAGAUCUUGAUUUCAAUUUCUUUGGACUGUUCAGCUGUGCUGAUCCCCCUGCUGUUCCUGGCAGGACAAGACACAAAUGGGCAAUAUCCUGCAAAACCUGGGAAGCAAGUAUCUAGGGGCAGAGAAGAAGCUGUGGCCUGGGAGAUCUCUCUUGGCUCUGAGCUGUGCUGCCCUGAGGGAGGAGUGAGGUGAUACUCCUCUUACCUCUUCAGUGCAUUAUCCUCUGGCUUUUUUGCUCCACUGAGGUUAUUUAGGAUCACAUUUUGGAAAUCUGGGAUGUUUUCACAAUCUCUAAAAAUGGUCCUUAAGAAUCAAAGUCUUCUUUGCUACCUACCAUGGAAUUUAGCCAGAUUUAUUUUGAUGUCAUGUUCAGAUUUGGCUGAGAGUCAGAGCAGGUACAUCUACCUGAAAUGGCGUUCAUUUGGAGGAACUGGCAGUAUUGAAGGUAACUGUUUUUCAAAAUUAGCAAAUGUUUGCAUGUUUUUGUUAAGACAGGUUAUCAGAAAUAAUUCAUUUUUCAUAUGUCAAACGGGGAGAAAAAGUAACUUUUAAUCAACUAAGGUGGUUGAGGUAGAAAUAAAAUCGUGAAGAAGGUCUGACUGUUCACUCAAUAGAAAUAAAAUCCUCAGUUUUGUGCUCAGCAGUUGAGAAAAGCAAUUUCUGGCUCUUAGUUCACAUUAAAAAAAUAAUUUGGACUAAAGCUCUAUUCGUAAUAAUGAAAUAAUGCUUUGAUUCUACUUUUGCUUUCAAGAAACAAUGUAAAUGUGUUCCUACAAGUUAGAAAACAUUCUGUGAUUCAGGAAACGCUACCACUUUGGCUUCAAAUAACUGGUCACUUUUUUUUUUUUUUAAAGGAUUAGAAAGAACUACACAAUAGCAAUAUUUCUGCCCUGAUGAGAACUCUGGGGACAGGGAGCAUUCUUAAGUAGGGGAAAAUUAAGGCAUAUGCUACUAACAAAGUAUGCACUUUAUUCCUAUUUUUCUGUGUUCUAAGCUAUGCUAAGCUAGUGGCUGGAUUUGCAAAGUGCGGAGAGAGUUUACGGGCUUGAGAGACCAGGAGGAAAUUUGCACCUGUUUACGUGAGUGAAUGGACCACCCAGGUUCCCCCUGCGGAUUCCCUAGGUUCACAGAGGAGGGGAAGCUUUCUGAUGUUAGUUAGCCAGCCUAGGGGCCAGGCUGCCAACCACCUGGCCAUCUGAGGAUGCUCCUCAGUCUGUUCUGGGGUGAGCAUUCUCCCCCCUGCCUUGCAGGAAGAGGGAGGUGAGACUCACCAGGGUUAGGGUACAAGGCAGUGCCCUACAAAGCCAGAAGAGGAAAUCUUGUAGAGUGUGAGCCUGCAAGCUUAGACUCCCACCCUGCCCCUGGGCCUGCUCCGUGGCUUUAUGGAGAACCAAACUGUUGUGUUCACAAUGCAGCAUCUCCUGACUGAGCAAUGGGACUUGUUCAAGAGAAAUACAUCCAUGUUCUGGGACUGAUGGUUGUGACCUUGUGCCACAUGGUCAUCAACCUGAGAAUGACCUUGCUCCUCUUUGAGUCUAUCAUCUCUGCAGCUGAUUGCAAAAUGCUGAUUGUUCAUUAUGAUGGUAAGACGAGUGCAUUGCCCAGCUGUGAGGGUGCUUCUAGCUUUAUAGACUCACUCAAUUAACAAGAGAUGUACAGGAGACCCCACAUGACCAGUCAAAACCAUGAACUUGCACUAAGGCAAGACCUUGUGUUGGCAAUGUUAGACACAACAUAGAAAUCAGAGAAGAGCUACUGUCCAGCCGUUUUAACCACCAAUACCCAUUUAUUUUAAUGGAAAAAAAAUCUGCAUUCUAUAUGCUCCAAAAAGACUUACUAUUGAAACAAAUACAAUAUAUGGAACUCUUUCUGCAUAAUUUCACUACAAUAAAGACAACAUAUAACUCCUGCUUCCUACAGAAGGUGAACUGAAUAGCACAGGUGCAAACAUAGAUUGCAUAAGAAAGCGUGGGUGUGCAUGUGUGCACACGUGUGUGUGCGUGUGGUUAAAACCUUUAGUAAGCAACUGCAUUGAAAUAUGCUAAGACACUUACCUUACCCUAGUUUGUGGCGAGCUCUAAGAAAAAGCCACAGGCUGUCACU